UUGGAUUCUUGUGGUUAAGACAGUGCCCCCUCGCUGGUCAGUUCUUCUCUGAGAGUGUGCUCAUUUCUUCAGAGGCUGAUGAUCUUAUUUUCAAAGGUUCUUGGCUCAUCAGCAACUGAGAGUUGGCUAACAUGAAACUACCUCAUGGCUUGGAGCAAAAUUUUUCACAUUUUUCAGAUCUCUGGAUGAAACGCUAUAUCUAAAGGUCUGGGACUAUCACUCACAUGAACUGUGGGCAUAUAUCAGUUGUGCGGGAGCCUUCUUGGAGAUGGGUUCAGAAAUAAACUCAUUCAGAUAUGAUCAUGAAAUUCUAGCCUGAGAAAGCAGACUCAAAUAGCUCUGUUGAAGCAGCUUUGCUUUUCAGGUGAGGCAGAACUCUCUGAA
rnacentral:lncRNA from 1 species